rnacentral:rRNA from 1 species
AGAGUUUGAUCCUGGCUCAGGAUUAACGCUGGCGGUAUGCCUAACACAUGCAAGUCGAACGGAAUACUCGAAAAGAGAAUCUCACACUAGUGAGAGGUUCUCCAACCGAGUAUUUAGUGGCGGACGGGUGAGUAACACGUUGGAACCUGCCCCGAAGUGGGGAAUAACUGCUCGAAAGAGUAGCUAAUACCCCAUAGUAUCCGGUUUAUCCGGAUUAAAGAUUUAUCGCUUCGGGAGGGGCCUGCGUCUGAUUAGCUUGUUGGUGGGGUAAAAGCUCACCAAGGCGACGAUCAGUAGCUGGUUCGAGAGGAUGACCAGCCACACUGGGACUGAGAUACGGCCCAGACUCCUACGGGAGGCAGCAGUGAGGAAUCUUCCACAAUGGACGAAAGUCUGAUGGAGCAAUACCGCGUGCAGGACGACGCUUUUCGGAGUGUAAACUGCUUUUGUCGUCGAAGAUUAUGACUGUAGACGAAGAAUAAGGACCGGCUAACUACGUG